rnacentral:rRNA from 1 species
CUGCAGCUCAAGUGGUGACCGCUAUUAUUGGGCCUAAAACGUUCGUAGCCGGCUGAGUAAAUGCUUGGGUAAAUCGUGCCGCUUAACGGUACGAAUUCCGGGUAGACUGCUCAGCUUGAGACCGGGAGAAGCUAGAGGUACUCCUGGGGUAGAGGUGAAAUUCUGUAAUCCUGGGGGGACCACCAGUGGCGAAGGCGUCUAGCUAGAACGGGUCUGACGGUGAGGGACGAAACCCUGGGGCGCAAACCGGAUUAGAGACCCGAGUAGUC